rnacentral:rRNA from 1 species
CACAUGCAGUCGAGGGGCAGCGGGGAGUAGCAAUACUUCGCCGGCGACCGGCGCACGGGUGAGUAACACGUGUGCAACCAACCCCGUACCGGGAGAUAACCCGCGGAAACGUGGACUAACAUCCCAUAAGACUCUAGAGCCGCAUGGCUUUGGAUUUAAAAUUCCGGUGGUACGGGACGGGCACGCGCGACAUUAGGUAGUUGGCGGGGUAACGGCCCACCAAGCCGACGAUGUCUAGGGGUUCUGAGAGGAAGGUCCCCCACACUGGAACUGAGACACGGUCCAGACUCCUACGGGAGGCAGCAGUGAGGAAUAUUGGUCAAUGGGCGCGAGCCUGAACCAGCCAAGUCGCGUGAGGGAAGAAUGGUCCAUGGCCUGUAAACCUCUUUUGUCAAGGAAGAAUAAAUUGCACGUGUGCGAUCUUGCCAGUACUUGACGAAUAAGCAUCGGCUAACUCCGUGCCAGCAGCCGCGGUAAUACGGGGGAUGCGAGCGUUAUCCGGAUUUAUUGGGUUUAAAGGGCGCGUAGGCGGGACGCCAAGUCAGCGGUAAAAGACUGCAGCUAAACUGUAGCACGCCGUUGAAACUGGCGCCCUCGAGACGAGACGAGGGAGGCGGAACAAGUGAAGUAGCGGUGAAAUGCUUAGAUAUCACUUGGAACCCCGAUAGCGAAGGCAGCUUCCCAGGCUCGAUCUGACGCUGAUGCGCGAGAGCGUGGGUAGCGAACAGGAUUAGAUACCCUGGUAGUCCACGCCGUAACGAUGCUCACUGGAUCUUGGCGAUACAUUGCCAGGGUUCAAGCGAAAGUAUUAAGUGAGCCACCUGGGGAGUACGUCGGCAACGAUGAAACUCAAGGAAUUGACGGGGGCCCGCACAAGCGGAGGAACAUGUGGUUUAAUU